ensembl:snRNA U6 U6 spliceosomal RNA
GUGCUCACUUCAGCAGCACAUAUACUAAAAUUGGAGCAAUACAGAGAAGAUUAGCGUGGCCUGCACAGGAAGACACAAAAAUUUGCAAAGCAUUCCAUAUUAAG